UGUUUUUUUUUUCAGCAGUUCCUGAUCUGCCUUUCAAAAAGCUUAGUGUAAAUCUGGACAUUGGGACUAUACAUAUGACCUUGAUGCUCUAAAGUACUGGAACAAUCCUCCCACCGAUGGUAGAUGUAGUGUGGAUCAAAAAAAAAAACCUAUGCCUCUGUGGAAUGAUCGCUGGAAGCCAAAUGAUGUGUCCUACAUAGCCUAAAAUGGAGGGAGACUACAUCCUGUCUUCUGGAAAGAUACAGAGACUUCUCCGCAAGGAGGGGCCACAUGCUGGAAUUUGGGGAGGAUGGGUACAUGCAGAACAUUCUCCUUGGUUUGAGAUUCUGCAAACAUGACAGGAAUGAACAACCUGCUCUCUGUUCACUUCCCUGAAGAUAUUCACGCAAACAACUCACUUCAGUGUUGUUUUGCUUAUCAGCAUGUAACCUUGGACUGGGGUGUUACAGAGGGAGAUCUCUCCCAAGGAGUGAUGCUGCAAUACUUGUGUGUUAAUGAUGGUGUCCUGCCAGGGAGGUGUCAAAUACAUUCCUUCAGGAAAACAAAGGAAGAGGAACUUUGCCAAAGACAUCCCAAUGAAGAAGGUAUCAGUUUUUGAUAAAAGAACUAUCCAAAAGCUCAGGAAUCUGGGAAAUUUCUACUCCUUAUUACCUUGUGAUCGAUGGUCCAUGAGUAAGAUAAAUUAUUCUGUCUCUCUUUCCCUUUCUGAAACAAAAGCAAAGUAACUUAAAUAAAUCAACUAUGCUGGCUAUCA